rnacentral:rRNA from 1 species
UACGUAGGCAGCAAACGUUGUUCGGAAUUACUGGGCGUAAAGAGUGUGUAGGCGGUUUGGCAAGUUUGGUGUGAAAUCUCCCGGCUUAACUGGGAGGGUGCGCCGAAAACUGCCAGGCUAGAGUAUUGGAGAGGAAAGCGGAAUUCCUGGUGUAGCGGUGAAAUGCGUAGAUAUCGGGAGGAACACCGGUGGUGUAGACGGCUUUCUGGACAAUUACUGACGCUGAGACACGAAAGCGUGGGGAGCAAACAGG